rfam:TPA: Bos taurus chromosome 13, whole genome shotgun sequence.
UCCCUAGCAGUCCAGUGGUUAAGACUCUGAACUUCCAAUUCAGGGGGUAUUGAUUCAAUCCCUAAUUGGGGAA